rnacentral:rRNA from 1 species
GGACGAACGCUGGCGGCGUGCUUAACACAUGCAAGUCGAACGGAAAGGCCCUGCUUGCCGGGUGCUCGAGUGGCGAACGGGUGAGUAACACGUGGGUGAUCUGCCCCUUACUUUGGGAUAAGCCUGGGAAACUGGGUCUAAUACUGGAUAGGACCAUGCUGUAGGUGGUGUGGUGGAAAGAUUAGUUUCGGUAAGGGAUGAGCUCGCGGUCUAUCAGCUUGUUGGUGGGGUAAUGGCCUACCAAGGCGUCGACGGGUAGCCGGCCUGAGAGGGUGGACGGCCACAUUGGGACUGAGAUACGGCCCAGACUCCUACGGGAGGCAGCAGUGGGGAAUAUUGCACAAUGGGCGCAAGCCUGAUGCAGCGACGCCGCGUGGGGGAUGACGGCCUUCGGGUUGUAAACUCCUUUCAGCCAUGACGAAGCCCUUGUGGUGACGGUAGUGGUAGAAGAAGCACCGGCUAACUACGUG